AGGAGAAGGAGGAGGAGGAGGUGUCCCCCCGUGGCCCGGGUCCCAGGCCGGGGUCGCCGCCCGCGGGCCUCGCCGGCCUCUGCCAACGCUUCGGGGUCCCCAGCACGCUGGUGCCCAUCCUGCAGGAGGCGGGGGUCGACCGACCCCCCGAACGACCCCCCAAUCGACCCCCAGACCGAGUCCAGAGGCACCGGCUCUACCGCGCUCUCCGCCGGACUCUGGUUGUGCAUGUGACACUGGAAGAUCUUCACCUUCUGGGAAAUCGAAAAGCAUAACCAAGGCCUGGCUCUUUGCCCGUCUCUGGCCCGUUCCUGCCAGGACCUGACCUUCCCCCCGGAGAACCAGCUGAAGCCAUCUUGCUGAAGGACUUCCUGUUUCCACAGAAACUUGACUCUGUAGACCGAUGCUCGUCCAUGUUUCCACUUGAUUAAAACCGAAGUUGAAAGUAA